rnacentral:rRNA from 1 species
GACGUAGGGCGCGAGCGUUGUCCGGAUUUAUUGGGCGUAAAGAGCUCGUAGGCGGUUUGUCACGUCGGGUGUGAAAACACGGGGCUUAACCCCGUGCCUGUUUCCGAUACGGGCAGACUAGAGGUAUGCAGGGGAGAACGGAAUUCCUGGUGUAGCGGUGAAAUGCGCAGAUAUCAGGAGGAACACCGGUGGCGAAGGCGGUUCUCUGGGCAUUACCUGACGCUGAGGAGCGAAAGUGUGGGGAGCGAACAGG